GACGAACGCUGGUGGCGUGCUUAACACAUGCAAGUCGAACGGGAUUUAGUAAACAGCAGCCUCGGUGGAAGAUUACUAAUGAGAGUGGCGAACGGGUGAGUAACGCGUGAGCAACCUGCCUAUGACAGUGGGAUAGCCUCGGGAAACCGGGAUUAAUACCGCAUAAAAUCGUAGAAACACAUGUUUUAACGGUCAAAGAUUUAUCGGUCAUAGAUGGGCUCGCGUCUGAUUAGCUAGUUGGUGAGAUAACAGCCCACCAAGGCGACGAUCAGUAGCCGGUCUGAGAGGAUGAACGGCCACAGUGGAACUGAGACACGGUCCAAACUCCUACGGGAGGCAGCAGUGGGGAAUAUUGCACAAUGGGGGAAACCCUGAUGCAGCGACGCCGCGUGAACGAAGAAGGUAUUCGUAUCGUAAAGUUCUGUCCUAUGGGAAGAUAAUGACAGUACCAUAGAAGAAAGCUCCGGCUAAAUACGUG
rnacentral:rRNA from 1 species